GUCCUGGUAGCUCAGUGGUAGAGCAUGCGACUCCAGUUAAGUCUGGGUAUCGCAGGGUCGCGCGUUCAACUCGCGUCCGGGACU